GAGAGAGACAUGCGCGCAUAUCAAUAAGCGGAGGAAAAGAAACUAACAAGGAUUCCCCUAGUAACGGCGAGUGAAGCGGGAAGAGCUCAAAUUUGAAAUCUUAAAGGGUUUCCCUUUACGAAUUGUAGUUUAAAGAAGUGUUUUCUGUUGGAGUUUCGGUAAAAGUUCUUUGGAAUAGGACAUCAUAGAGGGUGAGAAUCCCGUAUUUGACCGUUACUUUCCAGCUGUGUGAUACACUUUCAAAGAGUCGGAUUGUUUGGGAAUGCAGUCCAAGAUGGGUGGUAAAUUUCAUCUAAAGCUAAAUAUUGGCGAGAGACCGAUAGCGAACAAGUACCGUGAGGGAAAGAUGAAAAGAACUUUGAAAAGAGAGUUAAACAGUACGUGAAAUUGUCAAAAGGGAAGCGUUUGACACCAGUGUUGUUUAGUUGAAAAUCAAUUCAAUAGUUUUUGAUUCUAAGUAGUAUUGACUUCAUCAGCUUGCUGCUUUCUUCUCAGAAAUUAUUGAAUGCACUUUUCAGUUAACAAGUCAACAUCAAUUUCUUUUGUUGUAAAAGGGUAAGAGGAAGGUGGCUUGCGCUUCGGCUCAAGUGUUUAUAGCCUUUUAUCUCUGCAAUCGGAGAGAUUGAGGUCUGCAGCGUAGAUCCUUCGGGGUUAGAUACAUUGGUGCUAAGCUAUAGCCUUGUAUAGACAACUUGUUGACUAUGCUCAGUCAUGUAGCUUACUCGCUGAUGCUAUUUUACCUACGCUUAGGAUGUUGAUAGUCACAGCGUGUAC
rnacentral:rRNA from 1 species